CCUACGGGGUGCAGCAGUGAGGAAUAUUGGUCAAUGGUCGCGAGCCUGAACCAGCCAAGUAGCGUGAAGGAUGACUGCACUGCGGGUUGUAAACUUCUUUUAUCAAGGACUAAAGGCAGGAACGUGUGCCCUUUUGUAUGUACUUUAUGAAUAAGGAUCGGCUAACUCCGUGCCAGCCGCCGCGGUAAUACGGAGGAUCCGAGCGUUAUCCGGAUUUAUUGGGUUUAAAGGGAGCGUAGGUGGUUUGUUAAGUCAGUUGUGAAAGUUUGCGGCUCAACCGCAAAAUUGCAAUUGAAACUGGCAGUCGUGAGUACAGUUGAGGUAUGCGGAAUUCGUGGUGUAGCGGUGAAAUGCUUAGAUAUCACGAAGAACUCCGAUUGCGAAGGCAGCUUACCAAACUGCCACUGACAUUGAUGCUCGAAAGUGUGGGUAUCAAACAGGAUUAGAUACCCUAGUAGUC
rnacentral:rRNA from 1 species